AGAAAAGUAAGCUAAUUCAAGCUAAUGGGUUCAUACCCCGCAAAUAGAGUAUAAACUCUCUUCUCUG
rnacentral:tRNA from 1 species